CCUACGGGAGGCAGCAGUGGGGAAUAUUGGGCAAUGGGCGCAAGCCUGACCCAGCAACGCCGCGUGAAGGACGAAGGCUUUCGGGUUGUAAACUUCUUUUAAGGGGGAAGAGCAGAAGACGGUACCCCUUGAAUAAGCCACGGCUAACUACGUGCCAGCAGCCGCGGUAAUACGUAGGUGGCAAGCGUUGUCCGGAUUUACUGGGUGUAAAGGGCGUGCAGCCGGAGAGACAAGUCAGAUGUGAAAUCCACGGGCUCAACCCGUGAACUGCAUUUGAAACUGGUUCCCUUGAGUGUCGGAGAGGUAAUCGGAAUUCCUUGUGUAGCGGUGAAAUGCGUAGAUAUAAGGAAGAACACCAGUGGCGAAGGCGGAUUACUGGACGAUAACUGACGGUGAGGCGCGAAAGCGUGGGGAGCAAACAGGAUUAGAUACCCCGGUAGUC
rnacentral:rRNA from 1 species